CAAUAGCGUAUAUUAAAGUUGUUGCAGUUAAAAAGCUCGUAGUUGGAUUUCUGCCGAGGACGACCGGUCCGCCCUCUGGGUGUGUAUCUGGCUCGGCCUGGGCAUCUUCUUGGAGAACGUAUCUGCACUUGACUGUGUGGUGCGGUAUCCAGGACUUUUACUUUGAGGAAAUUAGAGUGUUUAAAGCAGGCAUUUGCUAUGAAUACAUUAGCAUGGAAUAAUAAUCUAGGACUUCGGUUCUAUUUUGUGGUUUCUAGAUCUGAAGUAAUGAUUGAUAGGGAUAGUUGGGGGUGCUAGUAUUAAGGGGCCAGAGGUGAAAUUCUUGGAUUCGGUCAAGACUAACUUAUGCGAAAGCAUUCACCAAGGAUGUCUUCUUUAAUCAAGAACGAAAGUUGGGGAUCGAAGACGAUCAGAUACCA
rnacentral:rRNA from 1 species